GAAGCAAACCAUAACCGUAAUUAAAGUGUUAAACAAGGGAAACUAGCAAACUUCAGCCAUCAAUGAUAGAUAACAAAUUACUAUGAACAGCAUUCAAUCAGGAUUCUAUAGGCAAAAGAUCUAUUGUGUGGGAAAUUUUGGGUCUCCUCUGUCACCCAUUAACCCAUUCGAUUUAUAUCUACAAUCAGAACUAGUUAUCUGAUCAACCAAUCCAACCAAAAGUAAAAAAAUUCAAAAGUUUGAAUAGCAAGUCUUGAAGACCUUUAUUUCCUCGAAAGGCACCUCUAACUCAAGUCUACACAAAGC